rnacentral:rRNA from 1 species
ACCUACGGGGGGCAGCAGUGGGGAAUAUUGCACAAUGGGCGAAAGCCUGAUGCAGCAACGCCGCGUGAAGGAAGAAGGCCUUCGGGUCGUAAACUUCUGUCCUUGGGGAAGAAGAACUGACGGUACCCAAGGAGGAAGCCCCGGCUAACUACGUGCCAGCAGCCGCGGUAAUACGUAGGGGGCAAGCGUUAUCCGGAUUUAUUGGGUUUAAAGGGUGCGCAGGCGGCGAGUUAAGUCAGCGGUAAAAUUUCGGGGCUCGACCCCGACGAGCCGUUGAAACUGGCUUGCUAGAGUGGGCGAGAAGU